rnacentral:rRNA from 1 species
CGUAUAUAGGAUUUUUAUUAUAUAUACAGCCUGCCCGGUGAAUAGCUUAAACGGCCGCGGUAUUUUGACUGUGCUAAGGUAGCAUAAUCAAUUGUCUAUUAAUUGUAGACUUGUAUGAAUGGUUAAACACAUUUUUGCUUUUUUAGAAAGUGUUUUGAAUUUAUGUUUUUAUUAAAAAUAAUAAAAUGUAGUAUUGGGACGAGAAGACCCUAUUAAGUUUUAUAUUUAGGUUAUUUUUAUUUUUAGUAGUUUAUUAUGACUAAGAAUAUUUUACUGGGGCGGUAGCUUAUUUUAAACGUAGAUGAGUGUAUUUAUUAGAAUUUUGAUCCACUAGUUAGUGAUAUUUAGAUUAAAUUACUGUAGGGAUAACAGCGUUAUAUAGUCUGAAAGUUCUUAUUGAUGACUAUGUUUGCGACCUCGAUGUUGGUUUAAGAUUCCCUUAAGGAGUAGAUGAUUUUUUGGGUGGUUUGUUCAACCAUUAAAUUCUUAUU